GAAAAGCUGGAAUGGAGCUGCUCUGUGCCUGUUUGCUUCCCUCCUACUCAUGGUUGCAACUCUACACUCUUUAGUUGCUAUGGUGACAGUAACGAUAAAGGCUGAUUGGAAGAAGAGGUGAAGCUUCAGCCCCAGGAAAGUCCACUGAUUUGCAGCUAAAUGUAGUACCAUGCCUGUGCUGAAGCCUCAGAAAAUUGCAUGGAAAUAACUGGAUCAAGCAAAGAACAUUUAUGGUCACAAAGGUUAUAACAGGUACAACAGCAAGGAAUGUUUUGAAAAGUAGCUGCCAUGCCUAAGGAUAAAAUAUAUCCAGCAAGGCUCCUUAUUACAAUUGAAGAAGUAUAUUCAUGUCUUGCCAAACCUUAUACAAGAGU